rnacentral:rRNA from 1 species
UACGGGGGGGAGCAAGCGUUGUUCGGAUUUACUGGGCGUAAAGGGCGCGUAGGCGGCGCAACAAGUCACUUGUGAAAUCUCCGGGCUUAACCCGGAGCGGCCAAGUGAUACUGUCGUGCUAGAGUGCGGAAGGGGCUACUGGAAUUCUCGGUGUAGCGGUGAAAUGCGUAGAUAUCGAGAGGAACACCUGCGGCGAAGGCGGGUAGCUGGGCCGACACUGACGCUGAAGCGCGAAAGCCAGGGGAGCGAACGGG